AAUAGCUGCCGCAGGUGUUGACGGUGGAGGUGUCACCAUCAAAACCAUUAGAAACAACACGACCAAGUCAAUGAUGCAAGUGGAAGUUUUGCCAUGUAAUAGUUGACCGCUGACGCCCUUCUCCAUCGAUUGUGUAAGUACGUAUCGAAACAUUCAUAUCGUAGUCAACUAGCUUAAUCUUCAUCUUCUAGGUAUAAAGAGUACUACCAAUCUGCAGUUCUGCAAGAGACGCAAACAAAACAAGAAUACAAUCGCAGGAAGACUCCAAAAAAUGUCCAACCCUGACUGUAAGUGAGUUCAAAUUUUAAAUCUACAACGAAUCCAUUUAUUUUGCUCCUAAGGAUCGCAUUGGCUUAACGGUGCCAAUCAUUCGGAGGCAAAUGAGCUGGCCCGACAAGAAUCCCCAAGAAGCCAAACAGAUUCAGAUCAGUCUCUCGGCAGCUACUGACGAUGUCGGCGAGUUGAAUCCAUCGAUUUUCACACAGAAAAUCAACAUCAAAAAAAUCACGACAAUUCAGCAGCGUCAUGGUCAACCUGCCGAUCAACCAUUCACAGUGAACAACCCCUAUUCGUAGCAGAAUGCGAACACAAUGUCAUCAAGCCGGAGUACCAUCCAGGAUCGAUCAAGUAUCGCAUUCAAUUGUUGUGCGUUGUGAAGAGCCACUGAAGCCUGGCACGUCCACUGAAUUGAUCCUCAAGCUUACUAACCCAACGAUGUACCAUAUGACCACAACCAUUAUGAAACUGCCAACCAAGGAAGAAGAACGGCGAAUGAUUACUUCGAAUAAAAGUUCAACGAAAGGAACCAAAAUUCACCACUUGGAGAAAGUCCAAUAACGUAACAAUCAAAUUGAACUUCACACCUGAAGAAGGACUGAAACCAGGCGAUGAUGUUACCCUUAGUUUUUUGAUGAAAUAUACUUUUGUGAAUACAUACACACGCCCGAAAAGAAAGAACGUCAAAAACACGCAUUAUCAUCGAAAGUUUUUGUAAAAGUUGGUCAAAUUGAAGCCUAGAUUUAUUUCUAUGUACAUAUAUCUAGAAAAUAAUCUUUUUUGCAAAAAACUUGUUUAUUUAUUUUGAGCUAUAGUGUAAUUUUGUAUAUAUUGUAUAUUCUAUUGUUUCUUUGCUGACUAGGAUUAUUUUUAUUCAAAACUAUUUAUGAUUUACUUUACUUAAUAAUAAAGGAAUUUGUUUUGAAUUCAAAGAUGUUGGUGCUUUUUGCUUCAGGGGACCUACAUAACUAUAAUUUUCGUUGGAAAAACGAAUAAGCUGUAUAAAGUAUAUUUUUCUUUAUUGAGGCAUUACAAAUUUAAUAUUUGUAAUACUUAUUCUUCUUAUGUUUUGGUUCAUCACAUCCGUGUGUAUUCUUUCGCGAUUCCAUGUGGUUAACAGACUCAUGAGUUUCAUUUGACUCUACCUAAAGUAUUGAAUUGUAAUACUUUUAUGGUUUUAAAUAGUUCGUGAGUUUAUUUUUGAUGCUGAUUACGAAUACGAACUUCGAUUUUAGCUAAAAAAAAACUAUUUUUCAACAUUAUUUUUAUCUAUUUUCAAUUUACUACAGGAACUUGAUGUUUUAACCUAAGACUAAAAAAUCCUAAUAAAAAGUACGAAACAAAUUUGAACGAAAUACUAAGGAAAAAUAUUGUAGGUUUGAAA